UACGGAGGAUGCAAGCGUUAUCCGGAAUGAUUGGGCGUAAAGCGUCCGCAGGUGGCAAUGUAAGUCUGCUGUUAAAGAGUCUAGCUCAACUAGAUAAAAGCAGUGGAAACUACAUAGCUAGAGUACGUUCGGGGCAGAGGGAAUUCCUGGUGUAGCGGUGAAAUGCGUAGAGAUCAGGAAGAACAUCGGUGGCGAAGGCGCUCUACUGGACCACAACUGACACUCAGGGACGAAAGCUAGGGGAGCGAAUGGG
rnacentral:rRNA from 1 species